GCAGAGUAGAGAGCCUUGCGUAAAGUGCCGAUUGUACGGGGAGUUGACAGUUGGACGAAAAGACGUUUUUGUAUCAUCAAAAACGCUUGCGGUAACGCUCUCGCAUCCCACUGC
rnacentral:ncRNA from 1 species